AUUGAACGCUGGCGGCCUGCCUUACACAUGCGAGUCGAACGGCAGCACGGGAGCAAUCCUGGUGGCGAGUGGCGAACGGGUGAGUAAUAUAUCGGAACGUGCCCAGUCGUGGGGGAUAACGCAGCGAAAGCUGUGCUAAUACCGCAUACGAUCUAUGGAUGAAAGCGGGGGAUCGCAAGACCUCGCGCGAUUGGAGCGGCCGAUAUCAGAUUAGCUAGUUGGUGAGGUAAAGGCUCACCAAGGCGACGAUCUGUAGCUGGUCUGAGAGGACGACCAGCCACACUGGAACUGAGACACGGUCCAGACUCCUACGGGAGGCAGCAGUGGGGAAUUUUGGACAAUGGGCGAAAGCCUGAUCCAGCAAUGCCGCGUGCAGGAUGAAGGCCUUCGGGUUGUAAACUGCUUUUGUACGGAACGAAACGGUGAGCUCUAAUACAGUUUGCUAAUGACGGUACCGUAAGAGUAAGCACCGGCUAACUACGUGCCAGCAGCCGCCGUAA
rnacentral:rRNA from 1 species